AAUAACUUAAUAGCCCAUCAGAACACCAUCUUCAAGGGUCAUUUAGCAUUUCCAUGAUAAAUUGCUAUUUUUAGAAGCUUAUGUAACCAAACAAAGAAUGUGUUCUUGGCUAUGGCCAUGAAGACAAGUUAUUAUCGUGGGAGGGACAAAGGAAUCUGAGAGGCUCAUGAGAGACGGAGCCAAUUGCAGAGGACAUUUUAUAGAGCACUCUUUCUCUUUAGUCGCCCAUUUUCUGCCAUCAGAAUAAUGCAGUGCGUUUCAGGGCCAUUUUCAUUUUUGAAGUGCUCUUUCAUCAUUAGUUAAUAAAUACUCAUCAAUGAAUUUUCCUCCUCGUCUUGGAAGUUGGAGUAAAAAGAAAGAUAAUCGCUUUCUAUUUUUAAAGAUGCUGCUGUUCCAUGUUCAGUUCUCAUCUUUCCAAGACUGUGCUGCUCGAGGAGAUCUGCCCUGUGGAAGGCGAACUGUGAUCUAGAUUAUUGGUCAAACGAAGUCAACCGAUUCAUGACUUGCCAGCUGGAUCUCCCUUGCUUCUUCCAGGAGAGAGGGGGUUGAAAGAGCCAACAGGAACUGAGAAGGUAAAUGUCACUGCUUCCAGCCUGCCAUAUUUUGAAAUUAGACAUGGAUUUAACAGAUUUUGACGUGUCAUAGUCAUACAAUUCAUACAAUUCAUUAAGCCACAUUGAAAUGAAAAGUAAGUGAUAUCCCUCUCAUUUAAAAAUAAUUGAGCAAGUGUUUUUAUAUUGAACUGAAACACUUCAUUUCUAUUGAAUAAUACACCCAAUAAGGGAAUAAAAGCACAACAUGGAUCUGAAACUGACCUUAGAUUACUCUUCCUGCAUGCUAGAAGUACGGACAAGGGGUGCCCCCUUUUCUUCUUGGAGGGCUGGGGAUAGAGGUCAGGGCUGAGAAAGUGCACCUGCAGCUUUGAAUGGCCCUCCUGGGGCAGGGGUAGGGGGGUGGGGUCAAGAACAAGGUGUGAAGUCUGUGGUCUCAGGAGUCAGGUUGCCAUAUUG
rnacentral:lncRNA from 1 species